GGGACAGGAGCACACACCAUGAUUUCACACAUCCAGCUGAUCUGGCCCCUGGCAUUCUGUGUCGCAGGUAUCAGUGGGGACAUCACCAUGACCCAGUCUCCCCCGGUGCUGUCAGUGGGACUGGGCCAGACCGCAACCAUCACCUGUAAGGCCAGUCAAAGCAUUAGCAGCUACCUUGCUUGGUACCAGCAGCGAGAAGGUCAGAAACCCUCUCUCCUGAUCUACAAUGCAGCAACUCGAUUCACAGGAGUCUCCGAUCGAUUCACCGGCAGUGGAUCAGGGACCAGUUUCACCCUGACAAUCAGCAACGUUCAGAAUGAGGAUGUCGCUGACUAUUACUGUCAGCAGCAUAGCAGCUACCCUCUUACGUUCGGUAAAGGAACCAAGCUCAGA